rnacentral:rRNA from 1 species
CCUACGGGGGGCAGCAGUGAGGAAUAUUGGUCAAUGGGCGCAAGCCUGAACCAGCCAAGUCGCGUGAGGGAAGACGGCCCUACGGGUUGUAAACCUCUUUUGCCGGGGAGCAAGCCUGAGCACGUGUGCCCAGGCGGAGAGUACCCGGAGAAAAAGCAUCGGCUAACUCCGUGCCAGCAGCCGCGGUAAUACGGAGGAUGCGAGCGUUAUCCGGAUUUAGUGGGUUUAAAGGGUGCGUAGGCGGAAUGCCAAGUCAGCGGUAAAAUCGCGGGGCUCAACCUCGCUCCGCCGUUGAAACUGGCGUUCUUGAGUGGGCGAGAAGUAUGCGGAAUGCGUGGUGUAGCGGUGAAAUGCAUAGAUAUCACGCAGAACUCCGAUUGCGAAGGCAGCAUACCGGCGCCCAACUGACGCUGAAGCACGAAAGUGUGGGUAUCAAACAGGAUUAGAUACCCCUGUAGUC